AUUUGCUUUACUUGUUGUUGUUUUUUAGGUGAAUCAAUUGCAAUUGAUGGAAUAUCUUUAAAAUGCUGAGAAUAUUUACCAACAAUUUUGUGAUCUCCAUAAAUAUGAAGGGGAAAGGUGGAAAUAUGCUUUAAGAGCACUAAUUUAUAUGGUGUAGUGAAAGCUUCUUCUAUUAAAUACGAUGGAACGAC